UUAGAAGAAGGAUAAGGGCUCCCCUGACCUGGGACAGCCCCAUGAAGUCACUCUGGAGUUGCUUUAUGGACCUUGGCCUGUCUUCUUUGGGCUAUUCACUAAUUCCAGUGUUGUUGUGGAGAGCAGGAGGUGAGGAGGGGAAGCAUAUCCUUCGCUAAAUAUAGACUGCAGAUUAGAGAAACUAAUUAAUAGCCUUGACAUUUCUAGGACAGAAAUCUUUUCCACUGGGAAUUAAUCUGGAUUUCUGCACCCUGCCUAUUGUAUUUCCAAUUCUUGAUAUAUGUUCACAACUGGAUCAGAUGUUGUAGAAGAAGAGAAGUUUUCUUCAUUGAGACAUAUGCCCAAGUGAAUCCAUUAUCAUCUAUUACAUGGCUGUAGCCUGGCUUUACAGAGGACAAAAUAUUGUACGAAUAGAGCUACCCUGGUAAGGCUGUGAUACCUGGCAUUGUGAUUAUAUUACUUCAGUUUCUUCCUUAUCAGACAACUCUGACCCCAUAAUAAGGUGGAGAGUAUAUCACUAGAUUAUAUGCACACAGGAAAGCAGAAAGAAAUCUCUGGAUUUCUUUUUCAUACACACCUUUUGUUCAUAUACAUACUGUGAUAUGUCUCAUAAUAAGUGAAAAGAGUAUGAAGCAAACUAAUUAUUUCUCAUUAACCUUAGUAGGAAGACAGUGCAAUUACACAUGUAUUUGUUAGAAAGAGAAACUCUUGUCCUAUUGAGAAUCAUAAUGUGUGAAUCAUUUAAGCAGUCAAGUUUGAGAAAAUUAUUUAUACUGUAGGAGUUUAGUUGUUUUUUAUUUUCACAGUUACUUGAACAAUUUAGUACUAUAUAGUGUAAUAACAUAUGCCAAAUUAAAUGGCAUGUAUUUGCUGUUAUCAGUGCACCCUCUGUACUUAAUUUAUUGGAUGAUUUCCCAUGUUAACUCAUGUUUACAUAGAUAGCAAUUAUUUUUUCUAGUAACAUAUACUUAAGGAUUCUUCAUAAGAGUAUAUUCAAUCUGGAUUUAUAUUAUGCAUAAUACAAAUUUUUUAUUUAUGUUGGUAUCCCUGGCAACACAGCACAGUGUCUGGCAUGCAGACCUGGGCUGAAUCAUGCUUUAGUUCUGAGUCAAAAACCAAUGAAUAGGAGCUUUUGCAAACUUGUUGAGUAGCUUCUGUUUUCUGUUCAAUCCUGGGGUCUUCAUCACAUCAUAAACAAGUGUGGAGAGAUGCUUCAAAGUUAGCACAGCAUAUUUUUGGUUAUUUUAUACCAAUAUUUCCACUUAGUGUAUCUUGUUAGUAUAUCUACCAUGGCCUCAUAAUAAAUUUGAUGGUGAUGAGAAGAUGAAGAUCUUGUUUUAGUUUAUAAAUAAAGUAGUCAAUCACAUUAGUUCCUUAUCUGCAUUAAAGAUUACCUUUUGCAAAAAUUUUGUUUAGGGACUCAGCAUUAAUAUUUAUAAACUAAUAAAUGACAAAAUAAAUCAAGAAAAUAUUUCCUUUCAUAAUUUCGGCCAUCCCCAUGAUUGCUGUUCAUGUUUGAAGGAGCAAGGGCUGUGAUGUUCUUUAUAAUUAGAAUGCAUAUAGCCUUCCUCUUUUUCCUCUGUCCAUCUGCAUUUCUCACUGUCUGUGCUGCUUGUAUAUUGCCUGAGCUGGAAGUGUUGUAUAUACAAAUUCCCUAAUGAAACACUAUGGCUAUGACUCUAUGACAACUAUAUUUCGUAGUCACAUUCCUCUUCUUCCAGUGCAGUUAAAAAUCAUAUGUGAUUUUAGAGCUUCAAGUAAUAUUAGUGAUCAUCAGUAUAACCUUUUUCCUAAUGAGGUCACUGGAGCCCAGAGAGACAUCAUUAACCAAAGACCCACGGUGAUGAUUUAAAAUAAAGGACAAUUUGAAUGUGAA